UGUCGGUCCACGUGCCUGGCUUGGUACAGUGUGAAAUAAACAACCACUGUACCAAGCGAGUCAGACACGUGGACUGACGC
rnacentral:pre_miRNA from 1 species